CACGCACUUUGUUCCAGAGGCCGCAGGACUGCCUCAGGCGAUACACAAACUGGGACCUGGAGGCCCGGGGCAGUACAGUGAUCCUGAAUCCGUGUUUCAGAUCUCAGAAGUGCUCCAGACACCCGUGGGAAACUCCAAAAGUUGGCGAUCGGUCCCGCUACCAGUCCUGCACAGCUACGAGUGGCUGCACGGUGGGUGCUCCAUAACCGGCUGGAAGCUGAGGAUGCAAAGGAAGACAAGAAGAUGAAAAGGCAGGCCGCCCUGCUCGCUGUGGCUCGCCAGUCUCCUCAAGGAUACAGCAGCCCCUGAGAAGCGGGAGAUUCCCCUACAUGAUUCAAGCAGGGCUAACUCGGAACUAUGGGCCCUGGGACAGGUGGAGUGAGCAGCCGGUGCCACGCCAGGAAAGGUAAAACGGAAGCAGGAACCAUACAUAUUCCUCAAGUAAAGGACAGGAUCUCAAUGAACAACUAAGUGAGCAUUGAAGAAAACCUUGUAAGUCCUUGAGCAGAGCAGGGGAACACCGUGACACCAAGCCAAAAGCAUUGAGGAACUCGUGGAUGUGCACGAGCAAGCUCACAGAGUAAAGAUUCCCAGUGUUUUCAACAAAUGAGGAAUUAAAUGUUUCUAGUUAAUCCAGAAUAACCUAAA